ACGAUGAUAACUAACUGUCAUGGUUCACAGAACUUUGGUGGCGCAGCUAACGCAUUAAGUUAUCCGCCUGGGGAGUACGGUCGCAAGAUUAAAACUCAAAGGAAUUGACGGGGGCCUGCACAAGCGGUGGAGCAUGUGGUUUAAUUCGAAGCAACGCGCAGAACCUUACCAGCGUUUGACAUGCCUAGUAUGGUUUCCAGAGAUGGAUUCCUUCAGUUCGGCUGGCUAGUGCACAGGUGCUGCAUGACUGUCGUCAGCUCGUGUCGUGAGAUGUUGGGUUAAGUCCCGCAACGAGCGCAACCCUCGUCUUUAGUUACCAUCAUUUAGUUGGGUACUCUAAAGAAACCGCCGGUGAUAAGCCGGAGGAAGGUGGGGAUGACGUCAAGUCCUCAUGGCCCUUACGCGCUGGGCUACACACGUGCUACAAUGGCGACUACAGUGGGCUGCAAUCCCGCGAGGGUGAGCUAAUCUCCAAAAGUCGUCUCAGUUCGGAUUGUUCUCUGCAACUCGAGAGCAUGAAGGCGGAAUCGCUAGUAAUCGCGGAUCAGCAUGC
rnacentral:rRNA from 1 species